CUGAAAAGUUCAUGAGCUGGAGCAGCCUGGGGAAUGAUUUCCAAUGGCCUCUUCCUACACUAAGCCUAGAGAUCAGAUAUGCAUAUUUUUCUUCCAAUCAGCAUUCAAGCCUUUCCUUUGCAUUUAUACUUACAAAUAACUUCUCUAUUUAUAUUGAAUGCUUUCUCAGAACCUUAUUUCACACUACACAUAUAAAAGGUGCUCAAAAAAUAUUUCUGAGUUAAAAUACUUCCACAGUGUCAGAGUUGUAGGAAACAAACUCAUGCCUCCUCCUUUUUCCCUGUCCAAAAUUGCUCUCGACAGCAGCAGAGCAGCCCAGCUUUGUUUGGAAUCCAUCUUUGGGAAAAUCAGCCUUGAUAAAGAACACUUAUCUAAAGCCAAAGUACAAAUAAAAAUGAACAUUAAAUAAAUUAGUCUCUAAAUGUUUUAGAUCUUGCUCCUCUUGGCAGUGUGUACAAACUAAUUUCUAAAUGAAAAGUCUGAUAAUGUAAUAAGCCUGGGGGUGCUCUCAAUCAGUUCCUGGAGAAAAUACCUCAGUGCCUGUUUAUCUAAAGCUGCCCCAUGAUUUCCUUAUCAAGAGAGCAAGAGGUGCUAAUUUACACUGCUGUGUCUCCAGUGACAUUCCUACAGUUAAGAAAGCUACUGUAAACUUAAAACAUUCUCAAACAGCCUUUCUUUCCUUACUUUAAGAAGAUAUUCUUAGCUAUGUGUCUGAGUUUUAGUCUGGGUUCUGCAAGCUGCAACAUAGCUUCCAGCCCCUAAAUCAUUUAGACCUCUGCAAACAGGGAAAAUGCAUCCCACCAAGCCUACACUGAGUCGGGCAUUAGCAUUGACACUGCAUGACUGUUGCUAGGAAUUGAUAAAUACUUUCUAUGAUGCUUCUGGAUACCAUAGAGCAAGAUAUAUAAGCACUAAGAAGAAACCUACAGUGAAUAGGUUCCUUCAGCAAACAAAGGGCAAAGGAGGGUUGUGGGCAUUUCCAGCAGGAUGCCUCCUGCAGCUGGGACUAAGUUUUAACUCCCAUCUUUGCAUGAAUGUAAAACUACAUAACAGUACAUCCCAAAAGGAAUGUAACUACCUGUGCUUGCACAAAGCAAAUGAAAGGCAAGUGAUUAAAAAAAAUCCACCUUGACUAACGUCAUUUUAUAUUAUGACUUUUAUAAAAGUCAGAGCAAUUCCUUGUAUGAAAUUUUAUAAACUUCUUGGGAAAGAGAAGCAUAACUAAAAUGUUCCACAUUUGUUAAAUACCAAAUUACCGUUUCUUACUAUGUUGGAAAGUUGUUAAUAUUUUAAAAAUACAACAAAGCAAUAAAUUUCAAAUGAUAGAUGUACUUAGACAUGACAGUGAACAAAUCCUUUUUGAGCUUAAGGUUUAUUUCACUACAUGAUUCAUCUAAGAUAAGUAUCCCAGCCAUGCAGAGUUUACACAACAUACUCUUGGGAUCGCUAAGGAUAAGUAGACCAGAGGAAUCUUGUCUCCAGCUGGUGGGAAGAUGCCAAAGCCAAGUUGAUGGCCACCAUUUGGAGAAAUGCUGACAGGAUCACAAGCCACAGCAUGAUGGCAAGGUGAUGGGACAGAGCACCAAACAAUGACAAAAACCCUCAUACAUGAAGGCUUAUUCUACAGGAGCAGACAGAACUACUGGAAUCAGCCUAUUAACAAUUUCACUUCUAUUUCCCUCAACAGUGCUCUCAGCCCUCUUGCAGAAAAAACAAAGCUGUGGACAGUGGACAGCAAUGCAGCUCCAUGUGCGGAAGUGCUAGACACAGUUUUCAGCUCCUGUGUAGUGCAGAAACCUGGGGCUCCUGAUCUAGGACUGGAAGCAGAGAAAUGGAUUCAAAGAAUGGCAUACUCCUAAAACAAAGGGAAUAGUAUGAAGUAGGGACUGAGGGCACUCAAAGGAGUCUCUGGAAGCCCUGAAGCUGGCAAGGAUCUUUUAGUGAGACAGAGCUGGAAUCUCCUGGGAAAAUGAGGUAAUGUGAAGACAACCCCAUCUUCAAAUGCAGGUUUUUUUUUUUUUCAAUCAAGAAAUAAAGUUUUCAAACUUAUCACUCAGAUUGAAAGGCAAUGAGUUUAUUAGAUGUGAUGUGAAGCAGGGAAAAGAGGACACUCUGAAGGAAGACAGAAUGUCUUCUCUGAAAAGAUAAUAGCAUGACUCUCUUGUACUCCAGUAUUAUUGAUCUAAGAAAAUAUUCCAAAUAGUUCUGCCCAGGUAAAAUUCUUGGCUUUGGACUAACAGAAGGAUAACAUCAAACUCUCAAGUAUCCACUGCCAUGAAAACUUUAGAUUAAUUAAGAUAAUUUUCACCAUUUGUAAUUGAAAUCUUUUUUUUUUUAAUUUUUUAUUGUUGGUUGUUCAAAACAUUACAAAUUUCUUGACAUAUCAUAUUCCACACUUUGAUUCAAGUGGGUUAUGAACUCCCACCUUCACCCCAUACACAGAUUGCAGAAUCACAUCAGCUACACAUCCAUUGAUUUACAUAUUGCCAUACUAGUGUCUGUUGUGCUCCCCUGCCUUUCCCAUCCUCCACCCUCCCCCCUCCCCACCUCUCCCCUCCCCUCCCCUCCUCUCUCUCUACCCCCUCCACUGUAUAACCCUGAGGGUCAACUUCCAUUUCCAUGCAAUUUCCCUUCUCUCCCCCUUUCCCUCCCACCUCUCAUCCCUGUUAAAUGUUAAUCUUCUUCUCCUGCUCUUCGUCCCUUCUCUGAUCUCAGUUACUCUCCUUAUAUCAAAGAAGACAUUUGGCAUUUGUUUUUUAGGGAUUGGCUAGCUUCACUUAGCAUAAUCUGCUCUAAUGCCAUCCAUUUCCCUGCAAAUUCUAUGAUUUUGUCAUUUUUAAUGCAGAGUAAUACUCCAUUGUGUAUAAAUGCCACAUUUUUUUUAUCCAUUCAUCUAUUGAAGGGCAUCUAGGUUGGUUCCACAGUCUUGCUAUUGUGAAUUGUGCUGCUAUGAACAUCGAUGUAGCAGUGUCCCUGUAGCCUGCUCUUUUUAGGUCUUUAGGGAAUAGACCAAGAAGGGGAAUAUCUCAGCAAAAGAAACAAUAAGAGAGGUAAAUAGGGAGCCUACACCCUGGGAACAAAUCUUUACUCCUCACACUUCAGAUAGAGCCCUAAUAUCCAGAGUAUACAAAGAACUCAAAAAAUUAGACAAUAAGAGAACAAACAACCCAAUCAACAAAUGGGCCAAGGACCUGAACAGACACUUCUCAGAGGAGGACAUACAGUCAAUCAACAAGUACAUGAAAAAAUGCUCACCAUCUCUAGCUGUCAGAGAAAUGCAAAUCAAAACCACCCUAAGAUACCAUCUCACUCCAGUAAGAUUGGCAGCCAUUAUGAAGUCAAACAACAACAAGUGCUGGCGAGGAUGUGGGGAAAAGGGUACACUUGUACAUUGCUGGUGUAAUUGAAAUCUUAACAAUAAUCUCUUACAGAUUUUAUGAUUAGUAGAAAUUAUCCUUACUUCCCUUAGUUUCAGAAUCUGGUCUGUACAGAGUCACAAAAUCUUUCCUUAAGGGUAACUUGGCUUCUUCUUAUAAACAUUAUUUUGAAACUUCAUUUUUUCUGCAGAUAACCAUUUGUUAAGAAAUGUUACAUAACCUGUCCAGUUAAGCCAGAAAGGGUGCAAGUAAAUUGUUUCAGGUAAAAUAAAGCAUGAGGUAAACAUUUUGGGCCUAUUUACUUUUUAUUUAUGGGACUGUGUAUUGAAACUAGAGGUAGUCAACAACUGAGCUACAUCAACAGCCCUUUUUAUAAAUUUUACUUUAUUUAGAGACAAGUUCUCACUAUUUUGCUUAGUGCCUCACUGAUAAGUUGCUGAGACUGGCUCUUAACUCAUGAUUCUCUUGCCUCACCCUAUAAAUCUAAUGGUAAUAUAGGCAUGGGGCACCAUGCCCAACCUACCACUUAUCUUAAAGGUACUUCAAUUUUUAUUACAAGGCUCUGUGAAUAAUACUAUCAUGAAAAUGGAAGUGCAAUGUAUUCUAUGAUGUAAUGACUCUAAUUUGUUUACAUCCAUAUUCAAAAUUACUAGUACUGGAUCAUUUUAUUUAACUAUAUUUUUAUUUUAACUUUUUGAAGAACCUGAAUACCAUUUUCUAAAACAGCUUUAUUUAAUUUAUAUUCUCACCAACAUUUUUACAACUGAUUAUUUAUAUCUAUGCUCAUAUAUUCUGGAGUAUCUACUAUUUUUUCCAUUUUUGUUUCUUCUUCUAAAUAUUUAUUUAUUUAUUUGUCAGAGACAGACAAAUUCCUUUUAUUUUAUUUAUUUAUUUUAUCUGGUUCUGAGGCUUAAACCAGUGACUUUCAUGUAUUAGGCAAUUGCUGUACAACUAAGCCAGAACCACAGCCACUAUCUUUUGGAUUUUUUUAGAAGGUAUUCUGACAAAACUACAAAGGGUGUAGGAUUUUGCCAUUUGACUGAUGCAUUAAAUUGCUGAUACUAGCUUGUCAGAAUUUAGGCUGUCAAGUAGCCAGAGGCAGAGUGUGCUUUAAAUACUUUCUCUGAUCAAUGGGGGAUCAUUAAUUUUUAACACAUUUCUAACACUACUGCUGGGAAUUUUAGUCCUUAGAUGUAGUUACACACAAUGCAAAUCCAAUUGUUUGCUAUGUAUGAAGAUUUGCACAUGCUCAAUCUCCUUUGCUUAUAGAUAUUGGAAGUUUAGGAUAAAAUUUCUUCAACAGAAGUUGCUAAUGUUAGACACUCAGUGCAUGGAGAAACUUUUUUUUUCUGGAAACAAUUGGUAGGCUUAAAAUUAUUAUUGGGGUAAACAAGGGUAGGUCAGGGCUCAGAAAGUGCUCAAGUUACACUGAGUCUAUCAGUGGUUUGCUUAAUUUUACCUCUUGAACCCAGAAUUAAAUCAAAAGAAAAGCAAAUUUUCCAGCAACAGAAGUAAGAAAACCACUGGUAAGUCUAUUCUUGGAACAAACUGACACCUUUGAGAUUUAACUUCUCUGCCUUCAGGUUGUGAAACACAUGAAAAGACUUACUUGUUCAUAGAAGACCACCACUUUGUCAUUUUUAUACUUAUAUAUCACUUCUUCUAUAACCAAUGAAUAAAUUAAUGUAGAAAUUACAGAAAUAUUUAAAGUCGCUUUUAUAUAUCUUGAUAGCCCUCUAUUCAAGGUGUCCCCUGACUUUGGGGGAAUUUUGUCCCAAAUAUGUGGCACUUCACUCGACAAUUCAAAUAUCCAGGUCUACUCCACCUUUUUCCUACUCAUUUCACUGUAGUUAUUUUCUUUAUUGUCCAAUGUACCUACAUCUCUGAAUUCAUUCAUGACUUUGUCAAAUAAGGAUCCAUAACAUAAGUAUAUGUGUAUUCGGUGUAUCAGUAAAGGGAGAGAUGGUUAGAAGCUUCACAUUCUGCUAUAUUUCUGUUAUGUUUCAGUUGUUAGGUGUCCCCCAAAAGCUCCCCUGUUAGACAAUGCAGGGAGGUUUGGGAUACAAAUGAUUGGGUUAUAGCCUUAAUGUCAUCAGUGAAUUAAUUCCUGAAUAAAUUACCUGUGUGGUAACUGAAGUGACAAUGUGUCGCUGAAGGAAGUGGGAAUUGGGCAUGUGGCUUUGAAGUAUAAAUUUAUGUAUUUACUCAAAACAGAGAAUCUGUCUCUUCUUCCUAGUCAUCAUGAGAGUUUCUUCCCUCUGCUACACCCUUCUGCCAUUAAGUUCUGCCUCACCUUGAGCCCUAAGGAAUGGAGCAGUCUUCUAUAGACAAAGACCUCUGUAAAGCUAAGCCUGCAAAUAAAAUUUUAUUCCUCUACAAUUUCUCUGGUCAAGUUCUUUAGUCACAGUGGUAAAAAAAAAAAAAUAAAGCUGACUAAAACAACUUCUAAUUUCAUCUCACCUUAACAUCUUCUUUUUGUGAUGAGUUUGAACAUUACCUUACAUAUUCUGCACACAAAGUUUCAGGAAACUGUAAUCCUAGCCCAAACAUAUAACUUUCUAUUUUUAAUUUAUUUAUUAAUUUAUUUUUCACAUAAUAAGUUACAGUUAAUCUUGGGUAUUGCAAAUUUCAUAAGAGAACUUAUGUAAUAUUUUCGAGACAUACAAUUAAGAUUUUUUAUUUAAAAUAUUUUAUUUCUUCUGCAUUCACUCACAUUCUUUUAUAAUCUAAUAUUUAAAAAUUUAUUCUAAUUUCUUAUAUAUGAUGGCAGAAUUCAUUUCAGUUCAUAAUACACAUAUAUGGCACGAUUCUUUAUAUCUCUUGUUAUACACAACAUAGAGUCACACCAUUUGUGUCUUCAUACAUUUACUUAGGGAAAUGGUAUGUUUCUUUUUCCACCGCCUUUCCUAUUGCCAUGUCCCCUUCCUCCUCCCCUCUGCCCUAUCUAUAGUUUGUCUAUUCCUCCCGUCCUCCUCCUUCCUCUCAAUUUUGAAUCACAAUCUUUAUAUCAGAGAAAAUAUUCAGCAUUUGUUUUGUUGAAUAUUGGCUUACUUCACUUAUUAGAUUUAUAUUCUCCAACUCCAUCCAUUUAUCUGAAAAUGCCAUGAAUGUAUUCAAUUGUGUAUUAAUGUGCAUUUUAUUUAUCCAUUAUUCUACUGAAGAGCAUCAGAGCAUACUACAAGGAUACAGCUAAAUCAAUAUUUAUAACAGCACAAUUCCAAAAAUGCUUAAAACCACCAGAUUAUAAUAUUUAUUUUUCUAAAGAUCUUAUGUACAGAUAUUAAAAUUCUACUUUACACA